CUCUGUGACUCCUACGGGAGGCAGCAGUGGGAAUAUGCACAAUGGGGGAAACCCUGAUGCAGCCAUGCCGCGUGUGUGAAGAAGGCCUUACGGGUUGUAAAGCACUUUCAGUAGGGAGGAAGGUAGUGUAGUUAACACCUGCACUAUUUGACGUUACCUACAGAAGAAGCACCGGCUAACUCCGUGCCAGCAGCCGCGGUAAUACGGAGGGUGCGAGCGUUAAUCGGAAUUACUGGGCGUAAAGCGCAUGCAGGCGGCCUGUUAAGUCAGAUGUGAAAGCCCGGGGCUUAACCUCGGAAUUGCAUUUGAAACUGGCAGGCUAGAGUCUUGUAGAGGGGGUAGAAUUUCAGGUGUAGCGGUGAAAUGCGUAGAGAUCUGAAGGAAUACCAGUGGCGAAGGCGGCCCCCUGGACAAAGACUGACGCUCAGAUGCGAAAGCGUGGGGAGCAAACAGGAUUAGAUACCCUGGUAG
rnacentral:rRNA from 1 species